UAACGCGUGGGAAUCUGCCCUUUUGUUCGGAAUAACGUUGGGAAACCGACGCUAAUACCGGAUACGCCCUACGGGGGAAAGAUUUAUCGCAGAAGGAGGGGCCCGCGUCGGAUUAGCUAGUUGGUGGGGUAAUGGCUUACCAAGGCGAUGAUCCGUAGGUGGUUUGAGAGGAUGAUCAGCCACACUGGGACUGAGACACGGCCCAGACUCCUACGGGAGGCAGCAGUGGGGAAUAUUGGACAAUGGGCGCAAGCCUGAUCCAGCAAUGCCGCGUGAGUGAUGAAGGCCUUAGGGUUG
rnacentral:rRNA from 1 species